CCUACGGGUGGCAGCAGUGGGGAAUAUUGGACAAUGGGCGAAAGCCUGAUCCAGCCAUGCCGCGUGUGUGAAGAAGGCCUUCGGGUUGUAAAGCACUUUCAGUGGGGAAGAAAGCCUUGGGGCUAAUACCCUCGAGGAAGGACAUCACCCACAGAAGAAGCACCGGCUAACUCCGUGCCAGCAGCCGCGGUAAUACGGAGGGUGCGAGCGUUAAUCGGAAUUACUGGGCGUAAAGCGCGCGUAGGCGGUCUGAUAAGCCGGUUGUGAAAGCCCCGGGCUCAACCUGGGAACGGCAUCCGGAACUGUCAGGCUAGAGUGCAGGAGAGGAAGGUAGAAUUCCCGGUGUAGCGGUGAAAUGCGUAGAGUUCGGGAGGAAUACCAGUGGCGAAGGCGGCCUUCUGGACUGACACUGACGCUGAGGUGCGAAAGCGUGGGUAGCAAACAGGAUUAGAUACCCCGGUAGUC
rnacentral:rRNA from 1 species